UACGAAGGGGGCGAGCGUUGUUCGGAUUUACUGGGCGUAAAGGGGGCGUAGGCGGACUUUUAAGUGAGAUGUGAAAUACCCGGGCUCAACUUGGGUGCUGCAUUUCAAACUGGAAGUCUAGAGUGCAGGAGAGGAGAAUGGAAUUCCUAGUGUAGCGGUGAAAUGCGUAGAGAUUAGGAAGAACACCAGUGGCGAAGGCGAUUCUCUGGACUGUAACUGACGCUGAGGCUCGAAAGCGUGGGGAGCAAACAGG
rnacentral:rRNA from 1 species